GGAAUAAGGAAGGAAAUUGAGGCAGACUUUGCAAACCUGAAAAAGAUCCAUCUCCGUGUGAUGAUGGUGAUGCAAUCAGUUCUUUAAGGAAAUUUAGCGCUCAAAGCUUCUGAUGCUCUGUAUGAAUUUCAAAGGCUACAGAAUCUGAUUUCUGCUUUCUUACACAAUGGAUUCUCAAGCAUUCCUGUCAAAAGGCCCAGGUCGGGAACACAAGAGGGACAUUUCCAAAUCUGUCUUGAUACAGUGUCAGCAGAGGUUAUGAGACGCUGGCCUUACACUAGCACUGACACGCAGAGCAGGCGGAGGGACAGACGUUACCUGCAUUACAUUGCAGGAGAUGGGCUCCACAUUAGCCGGUGAGACAGUCUCUACUCUGGGGAAGUUAAUAUGUGUGUGCAAUGUGAAGCUGUGUAUGCCAUGCCACCCUUCCCUCGCAGUGUCUGUAUUUCUUUAAACAUGUCUGCUGUGCCAGAUGGAAGCCCCCUGCCAUGUGCCCAGGAUUCUCCUGGAAGGAUUAUACCACUGCAAAGCCCCGACGUGGACAAUACAUCUCCAUCUCUGUUCUCAGACGACGAAGACGGUGAUUUGGCUACUGCAAUAACGGACAGAAGAAAAUAAAUAUUUGGCAGAGAGAGUUCCACACCUCAGCGUCCUGCAAAGGUGUGUGGGUGCUCAGGAGCAAUUCAGAAUACUGAGUGGGGAGCUGCAGAUGAUCAAAGGCCAGCGGCUGGCUCCAGCUGGUUUUAUCCAAGAGCCGACUCAGAGGGAUCAGAAGAGGGAGCAGAGAUUUCUUACACCUCAGAGCAGCCCCUGCUGGAGAUCAGCAACUCGCCCACUAUGAGCAACACUAGUGAAAAUUGUAACCGCAUGUGCCACAAUUUGCAUGCAGAUCUAGCAUGAUGGAAGCACUAUGGAAUGUGGACAGAACACAUAUUCCAUAGAGGACUUCAUCCCAGAGGAAUUCACUGAAAAAGGAGCACCUGCUUGCAAUACCUUGGAAGAACAAACCAGUAAUAUUCAGAGACCGAAAGAAAAAGGUGAAGAAAUGGAAGAGAGUGAGAGUUCUGUCAGAGAGAGACACACUAACUCCAUGAAACACUUGGAUGGCUCAAGAUUCAGAUACCAGUAUUCACCAGCACGUAGUGAGAUGGUACAAGCUAUACAUAGGCUCAGUUACUCGGAAGGAUUAAUCCAGUGGGCAAUGGAGUACCUUAGCCAGCAAGAUGAAAGGACUGGACAACAUAAGCGCAAGAGAAUUCAGUAACAUAACAGAAGCACAAAAGCAAGGAGUUCCAACCAGUGUAUAUCUGUUGAAGCUUUACAGUUAAUAAUUCAGAUAAACGUCAGUAUUAUAAAGUAAGGAGAAAAUGUACAAUGUUAUUCAACUUUAUUCAGUUAUUGAAUUUUGACAGGUUUGCAUGUCAAAGCGACCUAGGCUUAGUCAAAGUAACUGUUUAACAGGGUCAAGCUUGGUGGGUGUUGAGCUACAUGGCCGCAAGGAAGAAGGGCACCAGACUUGUCAUUAUCAUUCUUUAUAAACACCUAAAACAUAUAAAUGACAGUGAAAUGUGUUUAGUUUUUAAUAUAGUUUCCAUGAAAGAUAUGCUAUUGUAGCCAGCAUUGGCCGUAGUUUCUAACUUGUGUUAGAUACGGGGAGCAUUGUUCUUUAUAGACUUUGUAGAAAGCUUUUUUUCUGUUUUUUCUGCUUUGCAAGGGGUGCUAUUUACAGUAAAUGAUAACAAUGAUGUGUAAACCUGAGGAAUAUGUUGGUGCUAUAAAAAUAGGCAAUAAUAAUAUGCUAAAGCUGGCCACAAUGCUCCACAGUAUUGAACUGGCCCUCUGGGAUACAAGAAAACUCCCAGUGGGCCCAGGUGUCAGUGGGCCCUCUUGCUUAUAACCAUUUGGAAUAUUUCAUGUUCCAUGUUUUUGUAUGGGAACAAAAAGGCUAAAUAUACUGAAUGUAGUAUAUCAUGUAUUGGGAAGGUUUGAAAAUCCUGUUGGGCAAACACUCCUUUGGCUGGUGGAAAUAGUCCAUUCCUGAUGGGGCUGUACAGGCCCCACUGUAUGAUCCGCUGGACAUUGGUGGAUAGAAAUGGGACCAGUUCAAUGAUCUGCUCAUAGAAUUGACUCUGUACAUCCAUUUAAGGGCUCUGGCACACGGGGAGAUUAGUCACUUGUUACAAAUCUCCCUGACUAAUCUCCCCGAAAUGCCAUCCCACCGGCGAAAAUCGCAGAAGUAGCUGCGUAUGCCAUCCCACCACUACUUGCCGGUGGGAUGGUAUUUCGGGGAGAUUUGUCGCGGGCAAGUAGUCUCCCCGUCUGCUACAGCCCUUAAGAUUACAUGGGUGCUAAAACAGAGCUGAAAUCAUGAGAUAUAUAUCUCCCAGAUUAAACAAUGCACACAAAUGGUGUGGAAGCAGUAAUUCCUCUAAGAUGUGCACUCAUCUACUUGCAUGUGGGGAUAGUAUACUAUAUAUAUAUAUAUAUAUAUAUAUAUAUAUAUAUACUCUAUACUGUCGUGAGUCUAACUGCAGGGUGCAGGUAUGUAUAGUGUACCAGUCAAUAAGGAAAAAAGCGGUUUGCACAGUGGCAAAGUACCACAAGUCAUCAAAUGCUACACUCCUUAUACUAUAGUGGGGCUGUUUAUGGUGAACAUCAUAAUAUAUAUAGUAUUGUGCUAACUAAAAGCUUUGAACAGCAGUGAUAUUAAAAAGGAUAUAUGACCUGUCCCCUCUAGGAAACUGGUAACUGGAUUUAUUAGCAAUUAUUUAAUGACACAGGGGAAAGCUAUUGUUAUGCUGUUAUAAAAAUGACUUUCUCAUUACUAAGUAUUUUAUAAAUUGCAUUUUAAAGCAGACAUUUUAACCGUGCUUAAAUUAUGGAUAUAUUAAAUAUGUGAAUUUUUAUUACUGUCUUGCCAAUUUUUUGAUGUUCUCCAGUUUGUUAGACUUUUUCACCCAGGGUUGGUGGGAAAGACACUUAGACAACAUAUACUACUUUUGAUUGGUGCUGUUGUUUUACGAUGUUUGUGUUAUUUAAAAGCUACCGGAGCACAGGCUUACUUCCCUGUGCAUCUUGGUGUCCUUGGUGAGUAGGAUUCAGAUUUGUGAUUCUCUUUGUACAUUUACUUUUCCUUCUGAACAAAGAAGUUUCCCACACUCUAGAAUUUGCACAAAAUAAUAACUGGUGCGGGUCAGUAAAAGCUAACGCAUUAAUCAUCACUUAGAAUCUGAUUUUUAAAUCCAGUGCAGUGUCUUGGUGGACUGGAAUAUUAAUUAUGUAUUUGAUAAAAAUAUGCAGUAUCUGCUCGCCUCCUAAUGAUAAGGAGGGCAACACAGAACCUAUUUCUGAUACUCUCUAAGGGCAAUGGUUUGAUGUUCUGAGUCAUUUAAGUUUUUAUUUCUUGUUGGGGGAGAAUUAAAAAUAAAAAUUAGGCAAAGGUU